GUUCUACUCCCUCCGCCCGAAAAUACUUGUCAUUGAAAUGGAUGUAUCUAGAUGUAUUUUAGUUCUAGACACAUCCAUUUUGAUGACAAGUAAUUCCGGACGGAGGGAGUACUUG
rnacentral:pre_miRNA from 1 species